UGCGUAGGACAGUGAUGGCCAAACUUGGCCCUCCAGCUGUUUUUGGACUACAAUUCCCAUCAUCCCUAGCUAACAGGACCAAUCGUCAGGGAUGAUGGGAAUUGUAGCCCCAAAACGGCUGGAGGGCCAAGUUUGGCCAUCACUGACAUAGGAAC